GGUUGUCAUGCCAAUGGCACUGCCCGGUAGCUAAAUGCGGAAGAGAUAAGUGCUGAAAGCAUCUAAGCACGAAACUUGCCCCGAGAUGAGUUCUCCCUGAGACUUAGAGUCUCCUGAAGGAACGUUGAAGACGACGACGUUGAUAGGCCGGGUGUGUAAGCGCAGCGAUGCGUUGAGCUAACCGGUACUAAUGAACCGUGAGGCUUAACCUUACAACGCCGAAG
rnacentral:rRNA from 5 species